rnacentral:rRNA from 1 species
GAUGAACGCUGGCGGCGUGCCUAAUACAUGCAAGUCGAGCGAACGGACGAGAAGCUUGCUUUUCUGAUGUUAGCGGCGGACGGGUGAGUAACACGUGGAUAACCUACCCAUAAGACUGGGGUAACUUCGGGAAACCGGAGCUAAUACCGGAUAAUAUUUUGAACCGCAUUGUUCAAAAGUGAAAGACGGUCUUGCUGUCACUUAUAGAUGGAUCCGCGCUGCAUUAGCUAGUUGGUAAGGUAACGGCUUACCAAGGCAACGAUGCAUAGCCGACCUGAGAGGGUGAUCGGCCACACUGGAACUGAGACACGGUCCAGACUCCUACGGGAGGCAGCAGUAGGGAAUCUUCCGCAAUGGGCGAAAGCCUGACGGAGCAACGCCGCGUGAGUGAUGAAGGUCUUCGGAUCGUAAAACUCUGUUAUUAGGGAAGAACAUAUGUGUAAGUAACUGUGCACAUCUUGACGGUACCUAAUCAGAAAGCCACGGCUAACUACGUG